rnacentral:rRNA from 1 species
GACGAACGCUGGCGGCGUGCUUAACACAUGCCAGUCGAACGGAAAGGCCUGCUUUCCCUUGUGGAUUUCGGGUCCUCGGGUGGCGAACGGACGAGUAACACGUGAGUGAUCUGCCCCCAACUUGGUUAUAAGCCCGGGAAACUGGGUCUAAUUCCCGAUAGGACCGCAGGGUGGUGCCUGUGGUGGAAAACGUUUUUCUAGUGGUUGGGGAUGAGCUCGCGCCCUAUCAGCUUGUUGGUGGGGUAAUGGCCUACCACGGCGGCGCCGGGUAGCCGGCCUGGGAGGGUGGACGGCGAAAUUGGGACUGGGAUACGGGCCAGAGGGCGGCGGGAGGCGGCAGUGGGGCACAAUGCGCGAUGGGCGGAAGGCUGAUGCAGGGGCGCGGCGUGGGGGAUGACGGCCUGCGGGUUGGAGACUCCUUUCGAGCGCGAGGAAGUCAGCUGGUUGGAAGAGUGGGGAGGGUAGUGGUAGAAGAAGCACCGGCUAACUACGU